GAUCCUGGCUCAGGAUGAACGCUAGCUACAGGCUUAACNCAUGCAAGUCGCGGGGCAGCAUGAAGGAUGCUUGCAUCCUUUGAUGGCGACCGGCGCACGGGUGAGUAACGCGUAUCCAACCUGCCUGUUACCACGGCACAGCCCGUCGAAAGGCGGAUUAAUGCCGUAUGUGGUCCUUUGCGGGCAUCUAAUUAGGACUAAAGGUUCGGCGGUAACGGAUGGGGAUGCGUCCGAUUAG
rnacentral:rRNA from 1 species